rnacentral:rRNA from 1 species
UACGUAGGGAGCAAGCGUUGUCCGGAAUCAUUUGGGCGUAAAGCGCGCGUAGGUGGCUUCGUAAGUCCGUUGUGAAAGUCAAAGGCUCAACCUUUGAAAGCCGAUGGAUACUGUGAAGCUAGAGUACGGAAGAGGAGAGUGGAAUUCCUGGUGUAGCGGUGAAAUGCGCAGAUAUCAGGAAGAACACCCGUGGCGAAGGCGGCUCUCUGGUACGUGACUGACGCUGAGACGCGAAAGCGUGGGGAGCGAACAGG